rnacentral:tRNA from 1 species
GCAUUAGUGGUUCAGUGGUCAAAUUCUUGCCUUCCAUGCAGGAGACCUGGGUUUGUCUCCUGGCCUAUGUG